rnacentral:rRNA from 1 species
GAUGAACGCUGUCUACAGGCUUAACACAUGCAAGUCGAGGGGAAACGCCGGGGAAGCUUGCUUCCCCGGGCGUCGACCGGCGCACGGGUGAGUAACGCGUAUCCAACCUGCCUCUGACUGAGGGAUAACCCGUCGAAAGUCGGCCUAAUACCUCAUGGCAUCGUCUGCGGGCAUCCAACGACGAUUAAAGAUUUCAUCGGUCAGGGAUGGGGAUGCGUCUGAUUAGCUUGUUGGCGGGGUAACGGCCCACCAAGGCUACGAUCAGUAGGGGUUCUGAGAGGAAGGUCCCCCACAUUGGAACUGAGACACGGUCCAAACUCCUACGGGAGGCAGCAGUGAGGAAUAUGGGUCAAUGGGCGGGAGCCUGAACCAGCCAAGUAGCGUGCAGGAUGACGGCCCUAUGGGUUGUAAACUGCUUUUAUGCGGGGAUAAAGUGAGGGACGUGUCCCUCAUUGCAGGUACCGCAUGAAUAAGGACCGGCUAAUUCCGUGC